rnacentral:pre_miRNA from 1 species
CAUAAUCAACGAGAGGGUCAACCUGCCGCGAAGGUCUAUGAGUGCUCUGCUGCUCCUCUUCGUGGAGC